UGUGGCUCAAUGGUAGAGCACUUGCCUAGCAUGUGUAAGACCCUGGGUUCAAUUCUCAGCA
rnacentral:tRNA from 1 species